GAAGGGAUUAUGAUGGGAAUUGACAACUAUAAGGGGUAUAGGAAAUUGACCUAGGGUUAUAAUUUGGAUAUUAAUGUUGUGCGCUUUUUGAAAGAAAAAAAGAUGGUCACUACGGCCAUGAAAGCAUUUUAAAAAAUUAUUGAAGAUCUUGAAGGGAUGGAUUUUCCACUUCAGAGAAGUUAAUGUGCAUGGUUUAGAGGAG
rnacentral:lncRNA from 1 species